rnacentral:RNase_P_RNA from 1 species
AGCGGAAGGAAGCUCACUGUAGAGGUCACGUGCUGAGUGCUCAGUCACUCACCCAAUCACCUCGGGGAAGGUCUGAGACAAGAGCCAAUCGCUGCCCUAGCAGGGCAUCGCCCGAUGCGGGUGAGCGAGCGCACAGAAAUCAUGGGUUGCUACGAGCACCUUAGCAGGAGAAGCCGUCUGGCACAAUAACAGUGCGCACGGUGGAUGCGGUCUCGGCAACUUGGAAACACUCGCGGCUGGCGCAUGAGUGCGAUGUGUGAGCUGGAGAACAUCUCCAGAACCCAAUUCAGACUACUCUCCUUCCACU